CGCGUAGGCGGGUUAUUAAGUUAGAGGUGAAAUCCCGGGGCUCAACCCCCGGAACUGCCUUUAAUACUGGUAACCUAGAGUUCGAGAGAGGUGAGUGGAAUUCCGAGUGUAGAGGUGAAAUUCGUAGAUAUUCGGAGGAACACCAGUGGCGAAGGCGGCUCACUGGCUCGAUACUGACGCUGAGGUGCGAAAGUGUGGGGAGCAAACA
rnacentral:rRNA from 1 species